AUGCCCAGCAGGUGGCAGCCACCAGGGCCAGCGCUGAGGCCACCGCAGCCACUACAAGGCCAUCGUGGAUGUGCUGGGGCAGUGGAGGCUGGAGGAGGUGACACUGGCGCUGGGGACGUUGGUGGCUGCUGUAACCCAGGACAGGGAGGUGACGCCGCGGGGAACACAGGGACAGGGCUUCCCCAGCACUGCCUGGUUGCUCAGGGACAUCGUGGUGGCCAUCGGGACAUCAGGGCAGGGGCACAAGGAGGUGACGCGGAGGCUGGAGGUGGCCCAGGGGGCGCUGGCGGGGCAGGGAUAGGGACGGGGUGCGGACACAGGGGUGGCACUGUCACCACUGGGGCACAUGGACACCGAGGGACAUUGAGGACCUUGGGGACCUCCCCGUGUUCUUCUCUUGGGGACACCGGGGCCACCCUGACGUCCCCUGUCCCGUUUUGGGUCAGUACGACGUCCCUGAUGGCCCCGCAGUGUCCCCAACAGGACCCCGGUGUGUUCCCGGUGUCCCCAACAGGACAUCGGGGGGCACACUUGGGCCUUGUAGGGGACCCUGGGGGGACAUCGAGGUCCCGUCGGGAACACUCAGGGGACACCGGGGUCCCAUUGGGGACAUCGAGGGGACACUGGGGACCCCGCCCUGGCCCCGCGGGCGGGGGGGGGGGCGGUAACGUCACCUCUUCCUGCUUUCCCUCUCCGGCCGUGCCACGUUCCUGCGUGUCCCCAACUGAUCCCUGGGCGUGUUCACCCCCGGAGUGUCCCGCAGUGUCCCCGGAGUGUCCCCAGUGGCAAUGGAGCCCCAAGAGGUGCUGAAGGCUCUGGUGUCCGUGGUGGCCACCUUGGGCGAGGUGGCAGCCACCGAGACUGGGUCAGUAAGGGAUGUGCGGCAGCGAGUGUCCCCAGAGUCCCUGAACACGGCCCUGAGGAGAUUCAGCUGGCACCUCCAUAGGAUCCAGGACCACGGCAGUGUCCCCUGCCUGGGCCAGGCCCUGGCCACCCUUGGGGCCAGCCCAGAGGCCACCUGGGCCGAUGUGAGAGCCACGGGCAGCGCCUGGCGGGAGUCGGUGGCCGCACUCAUGGCGAGCUGGGAACGGCUGACCAGGGAGGCCGCUGAGCUCCUGCGAGGACGCGGCCAACGCCGAGGCCACCGCCACCACCUGGGCCGGGGACCCGCGGGACGAGGCCACCCGCAGGGGGACAGCAGGGGACAACGUGGCGGCCAUGGCCCAGUGGCUGCCAGUGGCCCUUGACAGGCAGGAGAUGGCCUUGGUGGGGGCUGCGCACGAGGCCCAGGGGGCUGCGGCCACCAACGAGGCCAUGGGAGAGGCUGUGGUGGCCACCAGCUGGGCAAGGGCGGCCACCAGGAGGGGACAUUGGGCGGAGGUGGCCCUGGGGCCCCUGAAGGGCUUGGUGGCCACAUGUGACAGAGCCAGGUUGUUCCUCUCGGAGCUGCAAUGUCGGCUCAGGGCCAUCCAGACCACCCUGGAGGGGACAGAGGAGGAAUUCCCCUAUAUCCCCGAGGCCUUGGUGGCCAAAGUGGCCAAGUUUGAGUGGCUGUGGAGGCCAGCACCCGCCUGUUCAUGUGUCACCUGCUGGGGACACUUAGGGACAUCCACAAUCUCCUCUUGAGUCUCUAUGGUGACCCAGGUGGUCCCAGUGGCCGCAGCAGCCGCGCGGUGGCUGAACGGUGUCAAAAAGACAUUGAGUGCAUGCCGAGGCUGCUGCAGGGACAGUGACAUCACCACUGAGACAUCAUUGGGGCAGUGACAUCAUCGGGGACACCAACGUGUCACUUGUCCCCUCCCUGCUUGGGAUUGGAGACAAAUUUGGGGAAUUUUCUGGGAAUGUUCAUUGAAAUUGUCCCAAAUCCUGAUGGGAAUUCCUGGGGUGAUGUCACUGGGGACACUCAGGGACACUCUGGGGACACUCAGAGAUAGGGGACAGGGGUGAAGGAGUCCUCUCAAGAGCUUCCAGCUUUCCAUCAUGCCUGCAGCCCAGCUGGGUCAUAAAUGACAGUUUAAUAAUUGCCUUUUGCACUUUUCUAUUGCCUUUUGCACAUUGUUAUUGAUCACCAGAAAUUUGAUAUGGUAUUUGGUACUGAUAUUGAUUAUUGGUGAUUCCUUGUAGCUGCUGGUUGGUGCAAUAUAAUCUGUCAGUUCAUGUGUGCACCAUAUAACCUAUAAGUAAAUAAAUAAAUAAAUGUCCUGUAUAUAAAUCA
ensembl:lncRNA